UUAAGGAGGGCACCUGAUGUAGUGAGCGCUGAGUGUUUGUUAUAAGCAGCUGAUGAAUUACUGAACUCUACAUCUGAAACUAAUGAUGUUCUAUAUGUUGGCUAAUUGAAUUUAAAUUAAAAAAAAGUGUACCAGUGAUUCUACUUUCCAUAUAAAGCUUAAUUUUCUUUCUUUCUUCUUUUUUUUCCUGUUGUUUAGAGAAAAGUUUAUUGUGGAAAGUUUAAACAACAUAUAAAAGUACAAGUACAGGGCAAACCAUGACGAGUACCUACCUUCUGAAGAUAAUUAUUGCCCUUAUUUUUUAUGAUCAUCAUGCACAUGUGCCCACUUAGAACCUUAGCCAUAUGAUACCAUAUUAUGAGGCCUUCUUUUAUUUUUUUCUUCACAAUAGAUUCUGGUAAUCUAUCCAUGUCAAUAAAUUUAGGCCCCUCCUUUUUAAUAACUGAAAUGUAUUCCAUUGUAUGAAUGUGCUGUGGUUUAUUUAACCAGUCUCUUAAAGAUGAAACAUUUUCCCUGUUAUGAAUAAUGCUUCAUUAAACAUCCUUGUACUAGUUUCUCACAGGAUAAAUGGGUUAGAACUUUUGAGUCACAAUAUAAUAACUUUUGAAUUUUUAUGCAGGCCCACAGACUACCUACGGAAAUGUGAACCAUUUUUAUUGUCCCAUAUUGAAGGGAAACCUGCUGCUGACUUUCUUUAAUGCUGUUCUUUUAAUGUAUUUUUCCCAAACUCUUUAGCUACUAUUUUUUUCUUGGCAAAUAGACUUUGGAUAACUAAUUAAGAGGAGGUUUAACGAUGGAUGUAGCUUCACUGGUUAAGAACCAAAAAUGUAUAUCCAGUAUAUAUUUUCCCUUACAUCAUUCUAGUAUGCAGUUAAAUGGGAGGAAGAAAUUUUCCCCGGCCUACGGUUCUUCUAGCUGGACUGAGAAUUAAAUUUUACAGGAGACAGAUUAACAGGAGAAAAAACCCUCAAGUUUUAUUAUGUUUGCACAGAGGUCUAAUAGUGAAAUUGGGACCCAAGCAAAUGACCAAAGGCAGUGCAGUUCUUAAACAUUUUAGACAAAGAGACGGCAAAUUGGCGGGGAAUUGGCAGGAUAAAGAAAACAGAUGUUUGGGAGCUUUAAUUAGUAUAAAGUACUCUAAGUGGAAUUUGGGCUGAGGUAAUAGAUGAAUAAAAAAAUAACAGUUUGUUUCUAUAGCUUUCUCAGCUUUAAAGUUCCCAUCUCUGUUGAUAAGAAUGUCUUUUUACUUCUUAGUACAGGGAGGGCACCUUUCAUAUGGGAAAUUAUUUUCAGGGGGACAGGGGAGGGUCUGAGUGCCCUUACACCAGCUGUUUCCUAAGUAGCUUCAAUUCAAAAGAUUGAGUGUGCCAUUGUGGUACAUUUGGGGCAGCCUGUCCCAGGCUCUUACACAGUUAUGUCUUCUUUUGACUUUCAUUGCAAUUAAUUAUCACACUGGAGGUUGAUGCAGUUAAAACCAGUGCCCCUUUUCAGUCUUUAUUGUAGACAGUCUGCCAUGCUCUGUACCUUCCUUUUACUCCUAAAACUUUGCUAAAGAGAGCUUUUGACAAUAAAAGUAGCAAAUACUACUUUGUCAUUUGAUAGGGCUUGAAAAAUAAUUCUUGAGUUCUUAUUUGAAGAUAUAAUCUCUAGGAGUAUUUUACCAUUUCUGUUAUGGAAGCACCGCUUUCAUGACCAUCUCUGGUUUCUUCUAAAAUGCUUUCUCCAUUUGUUUCAGUCUGUGAAAGUUUCCCCAGAUCCAUGUGAUUAAUGACCUGUUGUUCUUCCUCUUUGAACUUUAUCUCCUUGAUCUCAUCUGCCCAUCCUCUGUGUCACCUGAAACUUUGACCAGUUCAUUGGUUAAUUGUAUAUCUUUCUUUCACACUUUCUUGAGUUCACCUAAUGAUAAGGCUAUCAUCUGUCAUCUUAAAAAACUUUGUAGUAUAUAUUCUUUUACGGGCCAGAGUGAUUCAAUGUUAAGAUUCAUUAUGUGCUCCCUUUGGGUAUUAUGUAGAUCUAUGAAAGGUAGAUUUGUCUGUUGAGACUAUUGUAAUAACAAGAUCUAGGCAACUUUAGCAUAGGGGAAAAAAGCACCAACUUAGUUUUUUUUGUUUGUUUGUUUGUUUUUAUUUAUUUUUAUUUAUAUAUUUUUAAAAUUGAUUUAUUCAUGAAAGACACACAGAGAAAGGCAGGGACACAGGCAGAGGGAGAAGCAGGCUUCAUGCAGGGAGCCCGCUGUGGAACUCGAUCCUGGGACUCCAGGAUCCUGCCCUGGGCCGAAGGCAGAUGCUCAACCUCUGAGCCACCCAGGCAUCCCUUGUUUUUAUUUUUUAAAGAGAGAGAGUGCAUGUGUGUACACGCAUGCAGGGGAGAGGCAGAGGAAGAGAGAGAGAGAGAAUCUGAACCAGGCUCCACACUCAGGGCAGAGCCCGAUGUGGGGCUUGAUCUCACGACCCUGAGAUUAUAACCUGAGCUGAAAGCAAGAGUUGGAUACUUAACCAACUGAGCCACCCAGGCAAUCCAACUUAGUUUUCUUUGUAAACUCAUUUGGACUUUGAAGGGAUGACUUUAACGUACUUUGGAAGAGUUUUUCAAUAUGUCUUGUCUCCUUAUCAGGUAAAGUCUUCUAGAGAGAUAAACUCUUCAUGUUGAAUUUUGAUUUAAAAGGCUGGGAUCAUUAACUGGAGGGAAGGAAUGGCUAGGGAUGAGCUGACUUAGAAUAAAAUGGGACUGAGAGGUGGGAACCAGAGGAGGAAAUUAAGGAGAAUGCCCAAAAAAGACAUUUUAGAGGAGGUUGUCAGUAAAUAUGGCAGAUGUUAUUUAUAAUCGGAUCAUGAUUUACUUUUAAAUGUUCUUUGUUGGUAUCAGAAUGGCAAAAUAUAAACCUAUAUAAGAAGAUUCCCCACGGCUUUGGGUGUGAAUUGAUACAAGAGACAGGACUGUGAUAGAUUCAGUGGGGCAGUGGUUUUGUCACACCCUGCUCUUAAGCUGCAGGCCAAAUCAAUGCCAGGGACUUCUGGGAGGGGUCACUGAAUGAAGUGCUUGCUCAGCCAUCCAACCGAGUUGGGGUUCCGGGCUGGAGAUGGUACUGUGUGACAGGGCACAUUGUUUUCCAACAAACAGUGGGACUUUCCCAGUGUGUAAGCAUGCUGGUGCUGAGUUAUAUGGAAAUACUCUUUCAGGACACUAAGGUACCAUUUAAUGAACUGUUCCUUUAGUGCCAUUUAAUAACUCACAAUCAUAGUGUAGUAAGUGGUAGUUAAUUACUGAUUCUUUGAGCCCCUGGGGUACCAUUUAGUAAUUACUACUUCAUUGCCACUUAAUACAUUUCUGUCUUGUGCGUUAAAUAGCUCUGAGCAGUAAUUCAUGGCCCAGUCCCUGGUGGCCGCUUCUAGAGAUGCUCAUCUGAAACCAGAUGGUUGCUUAGGCACAGGGAGAGUAAAGGUGCCAUAAAAUCAUUUAAAUCACUGGUCACCAGACUUUUGGAUGUUAUGGACCAUGGGUUUUUUUAAUUUUUUUUUUUUUUAUUUUGUGGAGGUUUGUUCCCUCUAAGAAGCCUGACUCAGGAGUACACUGCCUGGGGGUAGGGCAUGGUAGGCAUUCAGUAAAUACUGGUUGAGUUAAAUUAAGUUAUGCAUUUUAGGACAGAAUUUUUGUUGGUGACACCUGCUUCAUUUUGUUAUUGUUUCAUCAGAUCUCAUAUCGGAGAUGUUGAUUUUGUAAAAUGUGUUCUCAAAAGUGACUGACUAAAGAGAUUUCAUUGUAUGCUGGGGUGGUGAGGGUUAAAUAGCAAAUGUGAAAACUGGAAGGACCUCAAACCAGAUGGUAAAUGUAAGGUAAGUAAUAUUGUCUACUGACAGUACUAUGCAGAAAUGAUUAAUUUUUGCAUUAUAUUAAAUCCUGGGGAAUUCUGAGAUACGGAACUGAUUAAUACCCAGACAACUAAUAUAUGGGUUUUUGUGUAUUGAUGCCUCAGGUAAAUUUGUGACAUAUCAAAGGAGAAAGUGGGUCAGUAAGGAUGAUUUAGUUAAAAUUGAUACCUUAAAAUGGAAGCAUAAAGGCACUGCCUUGAUGUGCCUUCUGUAUUUUUGCUUAUUGUAGAAAUCAUGUGUGUCAUAAGGUGACCAAUCUGAGUUUUAUCUAGCAUAGGUAGAUAGUGGUGGUAAUGAUAAUGUAGAAGAUCCUAAAAAUCCUGGUGAGUAUUUUGAAGGAUGGUAGAAGGAAGGACUGACAGCCUACGGCAUGGAAAAGUGGUCCAUGAAACACAUGACUAGACUGGCUAAUGUCCUUGUGUUGCCAUUCUGGGGAAGGCGCACCGGGGAGAGAGAGAGAGCCUCAAGCAGACUCCCUGUGGAGCGCAGAGCCCAAUGCGGGAUCCCUCGACCCUGAGAUCAUGACCUGAUCUGUUUCCCAGACACAUGUCCUCCUGUUCAGAGGCUAGGCUAUGUAUCAAUGCUUUUCUGUUUCUAACACCUGCCAGAUUUCAAAGUUGCAUUGAUUGCCUGGUUGUCCUGUAGAAUGUCUUGAUGUUGUAAGCUAAUCAACAGUUGAUUGAAAUACUUUUCAUUAAACUCUCUUCCUAAUAAUGUUUAAAACAUAAUGUAAACCCUAGCCAAGCCAUUGCUUCUCUCACCUGGCUUCAGAGCCCAUUAACACAUACAAAGUCUACAAUGGGACUGGAUAACUUUUUCUUACCAGAAGUAAAUAGAAACCUCCUGUCACAUAUUCUGAUAAAAUACAUUUUAAAAGAUGAAUUUUCAGACACAUUAUUUUGUACAGGUUCAUUCAGCAAAUUACUCCAGUACAAAACUGUUGUAAACACAUGGGCCAGACAUGAAGUCAAGUACAUUCUAUCAGAAAAUUCACUGUAUCUUUAAUCCUAGAUUUAGUGCUAUGAUUUAAGUAGAAGGGUUUAGAGAGUUCAUAAAUGCAAAGACUAGAAUAAACAAAAAGGAUUAAAGGAACUAUUUCCUGAGCAGCACUGAUAUAGAAUCUCAUACCUCCUUUUUCCCCAGGGAUACUUUUGACUUUAUUUUAAAGCCAGCUUUCAAGAAGCUAUAGAGCAGACAGGUAUUUUAAUAACACAAAUUAAGAAAUUAGGGGUGCCUGGCUGGCUCAUUCAGUAGAGCAUGCAACUUCUGAUCUCAGGGUUGUGGGUUUGACUUCAUGUUAGGUGUACAGAUUACUUAAAAAUACAAAUCUUAAAAAAUUAUUUUCCAUGAUCAGAAUGUGAUGUUGCCAUGAAUAUAAGUUUGUUUGAUUACAUAGAAACCUAUUAUUGGUCUGUGUUUUGACUUUUAUAGUUUGUGUUUCUUCCGCAGCUUUAAACCACCAUAACAAACUGUAGUUGAAUUCUCAUAUCACUUUCCUUUUUUAAAAAAUAUUUUAUUUAUUUAUUCAUGAGAGACCCAGAGAGAGAUUGGCAGAGACACAGGCAGAGGGAGAAGCAGGCUCCAUGCAGGGGGCCCGAUGUGGGACUGAGCCACCCAGGCAUCCCCUGUCGUAUCACUUUCUGAUUAGGUUCUAAAAUUGUAUCUGAGUGGGAUUGUUUAAUGGUUUUCAGUGGUAGGUACAUACUAUUGCAGUUGCAAUAUUUAGUGUUAUUGUAAUUUUAUAUUCCAUAUAGCUUAUAGCUGUGUUAACCACAUUCUCAUUUUGAAUAGCGCAUUUAGUAUUUAAUCAUUUUAUGUAUCAGUGUGCUCACCUAGCCCCGUAUUAGGGCAUUCAAGCUCUUUCCAGUUUGAGGCUGGCAUGAAUAAUCCUGCUACAGGUACUCUUUUUUUUUUUUUUUUAAAGAUUUAUGUAUUUAUUAGAGAGAGAGAGAGAAUGUACAAACAGGGGAAGGGGCAGAGGGAGAGAGAGAGUCUCAAGCAGACUCCCUGUGGAGCACAGAGCCCAAUGCAGGAUUUGAUCCCUUGACCCUGAGAUCAUGACCUGAACUUAUAACAUCUGAAGAGAUGCUGUAAGAAAGGGAAAGUAACUGCAAGAAAAAGGAAUGUCUCUGAGAUUUGAAACCUUUUCACUGGCAGGAGACCAACAGGUUGAAGAGAGCUACAAUGAAACUUUGUGUGCUGUCAGCUGAUCAAUAAAUUAAUUCAGUGUAGUGCCUAAGAGCCCAGCCUGUGCAGUUAGCCAGGUGUGAGUUCAGAUCUGUUGCUUUACCCCUCCGAACCUCCAGCUUCAUAAUGUGCGCGGAACAGCAUCUGGCUUGUGGGUGGUGGUGAGCUUUAAAUGCGAGGCCGUGUUGCGAAGCUGUUCCUUGGCACAGGCCUCACUGAUGUUGGGUGCUCAGUGAGGGAGAGCUGCUGUGAUUUACACUGACUGGGGUCCUGGGGUAGCAGGCCUCCAAGUUGGGUUUAUGCAACGUUGGCAAGUUGUUCCCCAGAGUCCUAGUUCUCUUGGAUGCUUCUUGGGUGUGUUGACCACACUCUGGGUCAGGAUUCUUCUACCGGGGGUCAGUUCUUGCAAUGCGCUCAUUGUCAGGUUUGUAUGUGAAUGAAUAUGGUCAAGGGUUACUGUGACUUAGACUCCACCCCUGGCCCCAAGGCAGAUGUUUGUUCCUGAAGAACAAACAAAUAAGAGACCAAAUCUAAUAAGAAUAUCCACUGUCUCAGGGUGCCUAGGUGGCGCAGUUUGUUGAAUACCCGACUCUUGAUUUCAGCUCUGGUCAUGAUCCCAGGGUUGUAGGAUUGAGCCCCAUCUUGGGCUCUGUGUGGAGUCUGCUCAAGAUUCCCUCUCUCUCUGGCCCUCUUGCUCAUGCUUGCUCUCUCUCUCUCUCAAAUAAAAAAAUAAAUCUUAAAAAACAAAACAAAACAAAACAAAAAAAACAAAACAAAAAAAACAACAAAAAAA
rnacentral:lncRNA from 1 species